rnacentral:rRNA from 1 species
AGAGCGAACGCUGGCGGCAGGCCUAACACAUGCAAGUCGAGCGCCCGUAGCAAUACGGGAGCGGCAGACGGGUGAGUAACGCGUGGGAACAUACCCUCCGGUUCGGAAUAACUCAGGGAAACUUGAGCUAAUACCGGAUACGGCAACCAAGAGAGAUUUUGGCGGCGAAAGAUUUAUCGCCGGAGGAUUGGCCCGCGUCCGAUUAGCUAGUUGGUGUGGUAAUGGCGCACCAAGGCGACGAUCGGUAGCUGGUCUGAGAGGAUGAUCAGCCACAUUGGGACUGAGACACGGCCCAAACUCCUACGGGAGGCAGCAGUGGGGAAUAUUGGACAAUGGGCGCAAGCCUGAUCCAGCCAUGCCGCGUGAGUGAUGAAGGCCUUAGGGUUGUAAAGCUCUUUCACCCACGACGAUAAUGACGGUAGUGGGAGAAGAAGCCCGGCUAACUUCGUGCCAGCAGCCGC